AAGGCUUGACAUACACCGACCACAAGGGGGACCCUGUCUCCAGGGUUUUCCGGUGUAUGUCAAGCCUUGGUAAGGUUCUUCGCGUUGCGUCGAAUUAAGCCACAUGCUCCGCCGCUUGUGCGGGCCCCCGUCAAUUCCUUUGAGUUUUAGCCUUGCGGCCGUACUCCCCAGGCGGGGCACUUAAUGCGUUAGCUGCGGCACGGACAACGUGGAAUGUUGCCCACACCUAGUGCCCACCGUUUACGGCGUGGACUAC
rnacentral:misc_RNA from 1 species